GAGCACUGCUAGGAAUAGAGGAUUUCAGCUGUGCCUUUGCUAUUUCUACACUUACCACUGAAUCAAUACUGUUUACGCAGAAACAGCAUUGUAGAGAGGUUUUCACUUCCAGUAAGGUGUUUCUUGAAGGCCCCAGGCACGGUUGUGGAAAACUUCCGUUAGCCCAUGUCCCGAAGACUGUCAGGAGCUGCACUGAGAGAAAAGAAACUCUGACACUUGACCAGCUAUUUGGAAGUCAGAAGUUGCACAUCGUCCUGGGACAGAGCGUCAUAACAGGGGCUCACCCCUCCAGUUUUCAUGUUUUCUUUCGUAUUGCACGUCUCUGUCUAUGACACCGAGCGUGGAGAACCCCGCUUGAUUGAAUUUGCCAGCAGUUUGAACGGCGUGCUGGAGCGAUAGUGAAAUCUACACUUCAACUGGACUCCUCCACCACUGUUGCCAAAAAUAACAAAGAUAACAGGUGUAAGUAGAUAUAGGAUGUAUAGCCAAACGCUUGACAGUCAUGCUUUGUUUUUUCAGUAAGUGGGAGUGUUUUCAUGCAUGGAGCCAAUUUCAGCACUGGAACACUAGUGAUACUAUGAAUGACUUGUACAGUACUUUUCAUCCCAAGAGUUUUUCCGAUUGUGCAAACUAUGACUCACGCUCUCACUGCUGAAAUGCAGCCACCUUUGGCAUUGAGCGCAGCAGUUGUGUAAUAGUCCGUGACAGUUCAAACUGAGGUUUUGCUGUACUUGAAAUUAUCAGGGUACUUUCUCGAUAUGUGUAUGAAUGCUGAAUUCUGCUGUUGCUUGGUGAGAAUUUAGUAAUUCAUCAGCUCUAUAGAGCCCCUGCUUACUAUUCAAAGGGUAUUAUGCCUAAAUAUUGUAUAAAGUUUGUCGGUGUUUGUUUUAAAAAUUGUGGAAAAUUUAGUAUUUUUAUGUUGAUUUUGAUAGUGUCUCUUUUGUUGAGAACGACAUGCUUCAGGCUAAUGAUGGAUGGGUGGAAACAUUUGCAUAGUGUUUGUAUAUGCCCUGAUUUCUUUCUUCUGUCUGACCGUUUGUGACAGCAAGCAGUCUUGUAGGUUAGAGGUGGUGGCUGGACUUGUGUUUGCUGUGUUGAUG